GAUGAACGCUAGCUACAGGCUUAACACAUGCAAGUCGAGGGGAAACGACAUCGGAAGCUUGCUUUUGAUGGGCGUCGACCGGCGCACGGGUGAGUAACGCGUAUCCAACCUGCCCACCACUUGGGAAUAACCUUGCGAAAGUAAGACUAAUACCCAAUGACGUCUCUAGAAGACAUCUGAAAGAGAUUAAAGAUUUAUCGGUGAUGGAUGGGGAUGCGUCUGAUUAGCUUGUUGGCGGGGUAACGGCCCACCAAGGCGACGAUCAGUAGGGGUUCUGAGAGGAAGGUCCCCCCANACUGGUACUGAGACACGGACCAGACUCCUACGGGAGGCAGCAGUGAGGAAUAUUGGUCAAAUGGGCGCAGGGCCUGAACCAGCCAAGUCGCGUGAGGGAUGACGGUCCUACGGAUUGUAAACCUCUUUUGUCGGGGAGUAACGUGCGGGACGCGUCCCGUAUUGAGAGUACCCGAAGAAAAAGCAAUCGGCUAACUCCGUGCCAGCAGCCGCGGU
rnacentral:rRNA from 1 species